GACGAACGUUGGCGGCGUGCUUAACACAUGCAAGUCGAACGGAAAGGCCCUGCUUUUGUGGGGUGCUCGAGUGGCGAACGGGUGAGUAACACGUGAGUAACCUGCCCUUGACUUUGGGAUAACUUCAGGAAACUGGGGCUAAUACCGGAUAGGAGCUCCUGCUGCAUGGUGGGGGUUGGAAAGUUUCGGCGGUUGGGGAUGGACUCGCGGCUUAUCAGCUUGUUGGUGGGGUAGUGGCUUACCAAGGCUUUGACGGGUAGCCGGCCUGAGAGGGUGACCGGCCACAUUGGGACUGAGAUACGGCCCAGACUCCUACGGGAGGCAGCAGUGGGGAAUAUUGCACAAUGGGCGGAAGCCUGAUGCAGCAACGCCGCGUGCGGGAUGACGGCCUUCGGGUUGUAAACCGCUUUCGCCUGUGACGAAGCGUGAGUGACGGUAAUGGGUAAAGAAGCACCGGCUAACUACGUGCCAGCAGCCGCGGUGAUACGUAGGGUGCGAGCGUUGUCCGGAUUUAUUGGGCGUAAAGGGCUCGUAGGUGGUUGAUCGCGUCGGAAGUGUAAUCUAGGGGCUUAACCCUGAGCGUGCUUUCGAUACGGGUUGACUUGAGGAAGGUAGGGGAGAAUGGAAUUCCUGGUGGAGCGGUGGAAUGCGCAGAUAUCAGGAGGAACACCAGUGGCGAAGGCGGUUCUCUGGGCCUUUCCUGACGCUGAGGAGCGAAAGCGUGGGGAGCGAACAGGCUUAGAUACCCUGGUAGUCCACGCUGUAAACGGUGGGUACUAGGUGUGGGGUCCAUUCCACGGGUUCCGUGCCGUAGCUAACGCUUUAAGUACCCCGCCUGGGGAGUACGGCAGCAAGGCUAAAACUCAAAGGAAUUGACGGGGCCCCGCACAAGCGGCGGAGCAUGCGGAUUAAUUCGAUGCAACGCGUAGAACCUUACCUGGGUUUGACAUGGAUCGGGAGUGCUCAGAGAUGGGUGUGCCUCUUUUGGGGUCGGUUCACAGGUGGUGCAUGCCUGUCGUCAGCUCGUGUCGUGAGAUGUUGGGUUAAGUCCCGCAACGAGCGCAACCCUUGUUCACUGUUGCCAGCACGUUAUGGUGGGGACUCAGUGGAGACCGCCGGGGUCAACUCGGAGGAAGGUGGGGAUGACGUCAAGUCCUCAUGCCCCUUAUGUCCAGGGCUUCACGCAUGCUACAAUGGCUGGUACAGAGAGUGGCGAGCCUGUGAGGGUGAGCGAAUCUCGGAAAGCCGGUCUCAGUUCGGAUUGGGGUUUGCAACUCGACCUCAUGAAGUCGGAGUCGCUAGUAAUCGCAGAUCAGCAACGCUGCGGUGAAUACGUUCCCGGG
rnacentral:rRNA from 1 species